ACCCGACCUCACGCCAUUUCGAAC
rnacentral:miRNA from 1 species